GAUGAACGCUGGCGGCGUGCCUAAUACAUGCAAGUCGAGCGAACAGACGAGGAGCUUGCUCCUCUGACGUUAGCGGCGGACGGGUGAGUAACACGUGGAUAACCUACCUAUAAGACUGGGAUAACUUCAAGAAACCGGAGCUAAUACCGGAUAAUAUAUUCAACCGGAUGGUUCAAUAGUGAAAGACGGUUUUGCUGUCACUUAUCGACGGAUCCGCUCCGCAUUAGCUAGUUGGUAAGGUAACGGCUUACCAAGGCAACGAUGCGUAGCCGACGUGAGAGGGUGAUAGCCCACACUAGAAGGGGGCCGCGGACCAGGCGACUAAGGGAGGCAGCAGAAGGGAAUCUGAGGCAAUGGGCGAAAACAUGACGGAGCAGCGCCGCGUGAGUUAUGAAGACGUUGGGAGCGGAAAACUCUGUUAUUAGGGAAGAACAAAUGUGUAAGUAACUAUGCACAUCUUGACGGUACCUAAACAGAAAGCAACGGCUAACUACGUG
rnacentral:rRNA from 1 species